UGAAGUAGUUGAUAGAGAUGGCAGCAGC
rnacentral:piRNA from 1 species